rnacentral:tRNA from 1 species
GGGGAUGUAGCUCAGUUGGGAGAGCGCCGCCCUUGCAAGGCGGAGGCCGUCGGUUCGAACCCGAUCAUCUCCACUA